GUCGAACGGUAACAGGAAACAGCUUGCUGUUUCGCUGACGAGUGGCGGACGGGUGAGUAAUGUCUGGGAAACUGCCUGAUGGAGGGGGAUAACUACUGGAAACGGUAGCUAAUACCGCAUAACGUCGCAAGACCAAAGAGGGGGACCUUCGGGCCUCUUGCCAUCGGAUGUGCCCAGAUGGGAUUAGCUAGUAGGUGGGGUAACGGCUCACCUAGGCGACGAUCCCUAGCUGGUCUGAGAGGAUGACCAGCCACACUGGAACUGAGACACGGUCCAGACUCCUACGGGAGGCAGCAGUGGGGAAUAUUGCACAAUGGGCGCAAGCCUGAUGCAGCCAUGCCGCGUGUAUGAAGAAGGCCUUCGGGUUGUAAAGUACUUUCAGCGGGGAGGAAGGGAGUAAAGUUAAUACCUUUGCUCAUUGACGUUACCCGCAGAAGAAGCACCGGCUAACUCCGUGCCAGCAGCCGCGGUAAUACGGAGGGUGCAAGCGUUAAUCGGAAUUACUGGGCGUAAAGCGCACGCAGGCGGUUUGUUAAGUCAGAUGUGAAAUCCCCGGGCUCAACCUGGGAACUGCAUCUGAUACUGGCAAGCUUGAGUCUCGUAGAGGGGGGUAGAAUUCCAGGUGUAGCGGUGAAAUGCGUAGAGAUCUGGAGGAAUACCGGUGGCGAAGGCGGCCCCCUGGACGAAGACUGACCCUCAGGUGCGAAAGCGUGGGGGAGCAAACAGGAUUAGAUACCCUGGUAGUCCACGCCGUAAACGAUGUCGACUUGGAGGUUGUGCCCUUGAGGCGUGGCUUCCGGAGCUAACGCGUUAAGUCGACCGCCUGGGGAGUACGGCCGCAAGGUUAAAACUCAAAUGAAUUGACGGGGGCCCGCACAAGCGGUGGAACCAUGGGGUUUAAUUCGAUGCAACGCGAAGAACCUUACCUGGUCUUGAAUUCCACGGAAGUUUUCAGAAAUGAGAAUGUGCCUUCGGGAACCGUGAGACAGGUGCUGCAUGGCUGUCGUCAGCUCGUGUUGUGAAAAGUUGGGUUAAGUCCCGCAACGAGCGCAACCCUUAUCCUUUG
rnacentral:rRNA from 1 species